GACGAACGCUGGCGGCGUGCCUAAUACAUGCAAGUAGGACGCAGUUGCGAACGCGUGAGUAACGCGUAGGUAACUACCUAUUAGAGGGGGAUAACUAUUGGCAACGAAAGCUAAUACCGCAUACUCGCAGAUGGACCUGCGUUGUAUUAGCUAGUAGGUAGGGUAAUGGCCGACCUAGGCAACGCUACAUAGCCGACCUGAGAGGGUGAACGGCCACAAUGGGAAUGAUACAAGGCCCAGACUCCUUCGGGAGGCAGCAGUAGGGAAUCUUCGGCAAUGGGGGGAACCCUGACCGAGCAACGCCGCGGGGGGGAAGAAGGUUUUUGGAUCGUAAAGCUUUGUUGUUAAGGAAGCGGUACUUAACCAGAAAGGGACGGCUAACUACGUGCCAGCAGCCGCGGUAAUAC
rnacentral:rRNA from 1 species